GGCCCGCUAGCUCAAUUCGGCAGAGCAACUGACUCUUAAUCAGUAGGUUCUCGGUUCGAGUCCGAGGCGGCUCG
rnacentral:tRNA from 1 species